GCUCAGAGCGAACGCUGGCGGCAGGCCUAACACAUGCAAGUCGAACGGAUCCUUCGGGAUUAGUGGCGGACGGGUGAGUAACACGUGGGAACGUGCCCUUUGGUUCGGAACAACUCAGGGAAACUUGAGCUAAUACCGGAUGUGCCCUUCGGGGGAAAGAUUUAUCGCCAUUGGAGCGGCCCGCGUCUGAUUAGCUAGUUGGUGAGGUAAAGGCUCACCAAGGCGACGAUCAGUAGCUGGUCUGAGAGGAUGAUCAGCCACAUUGGGACUGAGACACGGCCCAAACUCCUACGGGAGGCAGCAGUGGGGAAUCUUGCGCAAUGGGCGAAAGCCUGACGCAGCCAUGCCGCGUGAAUGAUGAAGGUCUUAGGAUUGUAAAAUUCUUUCACCGGGGACGAUAA
rnacentral:rRNA from 1 species